AACGAACGCUGGCGGCGUGCCUAACACAUGCAAGUCGUGCGAGAAAGUUCCUUCGGGAGCGAGUAAAGCGGCGCACGGGUGAGUAACACGUAGGUAACCUGCCCCCCAGUCUGGAACAACUAGAGGAAACUCUAGCUAAUGCCGGAUGAGACCACGAUCCCUUCGGGGGUUGCGGCCAAAGAUGGCCUCUACUUGUAAGCUAUCGCUGAGGGAUGGGCCUGCGGGCCAUUAGCUUGUUGGUGAGGUAACGGCUCACCAAGGCUGUGAUGGCUAGCUGGUCUGAGAGGAUGACCAGCCACACUGGGACUGAGACACGGCCCAGACUCCUACGGGAGGCAGCAGUGGGGAAUAUUGCGCAAUGGGCGAAAGCCUGACGCAGCGACGCCGCGUGGGUGA
rnacentral:rRNA from 1 species